rnacentral:SRP_RNA from 1 species
CCGUGCUAAGCGGGGAGGUAGCGGUGCCCUGUACUCGCAAUCCGCUAUAGCGAGGCCGAAUCCCCGCCCGAGGUGGGGUGGCCUCAAGGCCUGCCUUAAGCGAUUGGUGUUGACACCUGGGUCCUGCACAAUCGGAACCCGUGAACCCUGUCAGGUCCGGAAGGAAGCAGCAGUAAGCGGUCAUUCUGAUGUGUUGCAGGGUCGCCUGGGUCGAGCCAUGACCUUGAGUAACGCUUGGGGCCACCUCAUCGAAGGUGGGUGCACGG